GACGAACGCUGGCGGCGUGCUUAACACAUGCAAGUCGAACGGGGUGGCGAACGGGUGAGUAACACGUGGGUGACCUGCCGUGCACUUCGGGGGAAUCCUUGGAAACAGGGUCUACUACCGGAUAGCGUGGGAUGGGCGCGGGGCCAAUCGGCUUGUUGGGUGGGUAAUGGCCUACCAAGGCGGCGACGGGUAGCCGGCCUGGGAGGGUGGACGGCCACAAUGGGACUGAGAGACGGAGCAGACUCGAACGGGGGGCAACGGUGGGGAGUCUUGCGCAGCGGGCGGGAGUGUGAGGCAGCGACGCCGCGUGGGGAAAGUAGGCCUUCGGGUUGUGAACUCGUUUCACCAUCGACGCGGUAGAUGGAGAAGAAGCACCGGCUAACUACGUGCCAGCAGCCGCGGUAAUUC
rnacentral:rRNA from 1 species